rnacentral:tRNA from 1 species
UCUUGGGUAGCAUAGAGGUUAAUGCACUUGACUGUUAAUCAAGAUAUCGUAGGUUCAAAUCCUACCCCAAGAG